GAUGAACGCUGGCGGCGUGCUUAACACAUGCAAGUCGAACGAAACACCUUAUUUGAUUUUCUUCGUAACUGACGAUUUGGUGAUUGAGUGUCGGACGGGUGAGUAACACGUGGGUAACCUGCCCUGUACAGGUGGAUAACAGUCAGAAAUGACUGCUAAUACUGCAUAAGACCACAGCACCACAUAGUGCAGGUGUAAAAACUCCGGUGGUACAGGAUGGACCCGCGUCUGAUUAGCUGGUUGGUGAGGUAACGGCUCACCAAGGGGACGAUCAGUAGCCGGCUUGAGAGAGUGAACGGCGACAAUGGGACUGAGACACGGACCAAACUCCUACGGGAGGCAGCAGUGGGGAAUAUUGACCAAUGGGGGAAAGCCUGAUGCAGCGACGCCGCGUGAGUGAAGAAGUAUUUAGGUAUGUAAAGCUCUAUCAGCAGGGAAGAAAAUGACGGUACCUGACUAAGAAGCCCCGGCUAACUACGUG
rnacentral:rRNA from 1 species